rnacentral:rRNA from 1 species
UACGUAAGGGGCAAGCGUUACUCGGAAUUACUGGGUGUAAAGGGCGUGUAGGCGGUCAUACAAGUCAAAUGUUAAAUACUAUGGCUCAACCAUAGGACUGCGUUUGAAACUGUAUGGCUUGAAUCUGAUGGAGGGUAAUGGAAUUCCCGGUGUAGCGGUGAAAUGCGUAGAGAUCGGGAAGAACACCGAAGGCUAAAGCAGUUACCUAUGUCAAGAUUGACGCUGAGGCGCGAAAGCAUGGGGAUCAAACAGG